AACCACACGGCAUAAUCAAUUAUCCCGUGUGGUUGGGUUAAGUAAACCGCACAGGAUAAUCGAUUAUCCUGUACGGUC
rnacentral:pre_miRNA from 14 species